AUUGGAAAUACAGUAUUCUUAUGGGGUUGAAGUUAGCUUUGUCAGAAGUUUCUUGGUUUAUACAUAUAUUUUGCACCCAAUCUCAUAUGACCCUUAAUGAGCUCAAGUGCAUUGCUUGAGAGAAGUACCUCUGAGUUACUUGUAGGAUUUUUUUGGUGACAUUUCUUGGAUUUGUUUUCUUCUCCUAUUCUUGUUAUUUGUCUCAGAUGCUAAACUUCACUGAACUUCUGCAAGUGGAACUGGUUCAGGUUAAAAUUAACCAAUUCCAG
rnacentral:misc_RNA from 1 species